rnacentral:rRNA from 1 species
GCAUAUCAAUAAGCGGAGGAAAAGAAACCAACAGGGAUUGCCCUAGUAACGGCGAGUGAAGCGGCAACAGCUCAAAUUUGAAAUCUGGCUCUCGGGCCCGAGUUGUAAUUUGUAGAGGAUGCUUUUGAUGCGGUGCCUUCCGAGUUCCCUGGAACGGGACGCCAUAGAGGGUGAGAGCCCCGUCUGGUUGGAUGCCAAAUCUCUGUAAAGCUCCUUCGACGAGUCGAGUAGUUUGGGAAUGCUGCUCUAAAUGGGAGGUAUAUGUCUUCUAAAGCUAAAUACCGGCCAGAGACCGAUAGCGCACAAGUAGAGUGAUCGAAAGAUGAAAAGCACUUUGAAAAGAGAGUUAAAAAGUACGUGAAAUUGUUGAAAGGGAAGCGUUUAUGACCAGACUUGGGCUUGGUUAAUCAUCUGGGGUUCUCUCCAGUGCACUUUUCCAGUCCAGGCCAGCAUCAGUUUUCGCCGGGGGAUAAAGGCUUCGGGAAUGUGGCUCUCUCCGGGGAGUGUUAUAGCCCGUUGCGUAAUACCCUGGCGGGGACUGAGGUUCGCGCAUCUGCAAGGAUGCUGGCGUAAUGGUCAUCAACGACCCGUCUUGAAACACGGACC